rnacentral:rRNA from 1 species
GACGAACGCUGGCGGCGUGCUUAACACAUGCAAGUCGAACGGAAAGGCCCUGCUUUUGUUGGGGGCUCGAGGGGCGAAGGGGUGAAUAACACGUGAAUAACCUGCCCUUGACUUUGGGAUAACUUCAGGAACCUGGGGCUAAUACCGGAUAGCAGCUCCUGCUGCAUGGUGGGCGUUGGAAAGUUUACGCGGUUGGGGGUGGACUCCCGGGUUAUCAGCUUGUUGGUGGGGUAGUGGCUAACCAAGCCAUUGAUGGCUAGCCGGCCUGGGCGGGUGACCGGCCACAUUGGGACUGAGAGACGGAGCAGAGUCGUAUGGUGGACAGCAGUGGGGAAUAUUGCACAAUGAGCGGACGCGUGAUGCAGCAGCGCCGCGUGCGGGAUGACGGCCUGCGGGUUGCAAACCGCAUUCGCCUGAGACGAAGCGUGAGUGACGGUAAUGGGUAAAGAAGCACCGGCUAACUACGUG